rnacentral:tRNA from 1 species
UCCCUUGAGCCGGAUUUGAACCGACCUAAGGAUCAUCGUUGUAACAUCUACAGGCCUCCGCUCUGCCAACUGAGCUAUCGAGGG